rnacentral:rRNA from 1 species
UACGUAGGGUGCGAGCGUUGUCCGGAUUUAUUGGGCGUAAAGAGCUCGUAGGCGGCUCGGUAAGUCGGGUGUGAAAUUUCGAGGCUCAACCUCGAAACGCCACCCGAUACUGCUGUGGCUAGAGUCCGGUAGGGGAGCGUGGAAUUCCUGGUGUAGCGGUGAAAUGCGCAGAUAUCAGGAGGAACACCAGCGGCGAAGGCGGCGCUCUGGGCCGGUACUGACGCUGAGGUGCGAAAGCGUGGGGAGCAAACAGG